GAAGUGUUAAGUUUAUAACACCUAUGGUAAGUCUUUAGGUGUAGUAUACUCCACCCGACACGAUUUUUUCCAAGGAACGAAACCCACUUUUUAUGAAAGACGUGGGACUUAGAAAUAGUCUGAAGACAAUUGUUUUUUUCUAUAGCAGAACUUUUUUUGAAGAACUUUUAAAAUUUGGUAUUUUUGUUAAACAUUUGUUUGUUUUUUGUUUGCUUUUUCACAUAACUUAUCUUAGAUCUGGUUGUAUAGAACUUUAUUUAUCUGAAAAAAGUGGACCCAAACAAAACCAAAAUGUUGAUUUUUAUGAGGAAUUUUUUACGAAAUUUUGACUUAAUAAACUUGGGAAAAGUAAAAAAAAUAUAUAUUUAUGGUGUUCUCUAUUUUUUUUAUUGACAGCAGUAUUAGAUCCCUACGGCUACAACACGUAUGUUGGUCAAGUCAAUCCCAGCCGUGGGAUCUUGCCAGCCUGCGUUGUUGUGGAGACAGGUCGUUUUACGAUCUCCUGGUGGACGAGCUUCGACGGCUUAUACGAGCGGCUCUCCGUUUCCGUAGCCACUCUGAAUUCCAACGCUGAAUGCUUAUUGGCUCCCUCUUCCUCAGUGAGAAGGUUUGCCUGAUCAACCACGAAUCCCUGAC
rnacentral:lncRNA from 1 species